UACGUAGGGGGCAAGCGUUGUCCGGAUUUAUUGGGCGUAAAGCGCUCGCAGGUGGUUCGUCGCGUCGUGCGUGAAAGACCCCGGCUCAACUGGGGAGGGUCGUGCGAUACGGGCGAACUGGAGGCCAGUAGGGGGAUGCGGAAUUCCGGGUGUAGUGGUGGAAUGCGUAGAGAUCAGGAGGAACACCCAUGGCGAAGGCAGCUCUCUGGCUUCACCCUGACGCUGAGGCGCGAAAGCGUGGGGAGCGAACGGG
rnacentral:rRNA from 1 species